AAGAAGAGAAAGAACGAGAAGAAGAAGGAGAAUCGGCAAGGUUCUUUGCAGAAGGAGAUUUUUUCAUUUUUCUUGAUUUUGAAGGUGUUCCUGGGGACUCUCUGGCUGGUGUUUUUGGUGAUGAUUUGUCUUUCUUUUUGUCUUUCUUUUUCUUCUUUUCUGUUGAUUUCUUUGAUACUAAAGGGGGAG
rnacentral:ribozyme from 13 species